GCUGGGCAUGGUGGCACAUGCCUGUAAUCCCAGCUACUCAGGAGGCUGAGGCAGGAGAAUUGCUUGAACCUGGGAGGCGGAGGUUGCAGUGAGCCGAGAUCGUGCCACUGCACUCCAGCCUGGUGACAGAGCGGGACUCUGUUUCAAAAAAAAAAAAAAAAAAACUUUUUUAAGACAGAGCUUUGCUUUAUUGCCCAUUCUGGAGUGCAGUGGCGCAAUCUCAGCUCACUGCAGCCUCCACCUCUCAAGUUCAAGCAAUGCUCCUGCCUCAG
rnacentral:SRP_RNA from 1 species